rnacentral:rRNA from 1 species
GUGUCAGCCGCCGCGGUAACACGUAGGGAGCAAGCGUUGUCCGGAUUUAUUGGGCGUAAAGAGCUCGUAGGCGGUUCCGUAAGUCAGGUGUGAAACCUCCAGGCUCAACCUGGAGACGCCACCUGAUACUGCGGUGACUGGAGUCCGGUAGGGGAGCGUGGAAUUCCUGGUGUAGCGGUGAAAUGCGCAGAUAUCAGGAGGAACACCAGCGGCGAAGGCGGCGCUCUGGGCCGGUACUGACGCUGAGGAGCGAAAGCGUGGGUAGCAAACAGGAUUAGAUACCCCGGUAGUCC